GGAUCCGUGGCGCAUCGGUAGCGCGUCUGGACUCCAGAUCAGAAGGUUGCGUGUCUGAUUCACGUCGGGUUCA